GUUCAUCCUGAGACCAAACUCAAGUUGCUCACCAACCCCCUCACUCUCGACCGUCGUCGCCUCGUCGCUGUCGCCUACGCUGUCGCCGUUAGUCCGUCGCGUUCAUCCUAAGGGUUUCGGUGAUGAUUCUGCAGAUUUUGGUUCCGUCGAAUCCCCGAGGUGCAGAGAUGCUUGGUUCAGGUAUCGUUGCGGCUGAAUCAGAUUUCAACUUACGCAGAUUGUGGGGAUUACCUGAGGAGCAAACUUCACCAUUGUUCUGUUCCAUUGUGAUGGACGAGUUUCUGAAUGGGAAGAAUUCAAAUGGUCUGAGCGAGCAAUACUCACGAGUGUGCGAAAGCAGACCAACACAAUUUGUGUUUUCUGUUCUUCAAAUAUGCCGGUGCUCGCUUUUGAUUCUUUCAAACCUUUCGCGUCUUGGGAUUUUUUCCCUCUGUUUUGAAGGUGUUACGCUAAAGGUUUCUGCAUCAUAUGACUGCCUACUCAUCUGGAAUGGGGUUGAACACUCCAACGCAGAAACGUAGCAGGUAGUACAUUGAGCUCAUCAAGAAGCACAGUCUGGGGAUCUUGCAGCCUGCUGUGGAAUCCAAGAAAAAGAUAACAUGGGAGAUAACAAAGAGAGAAACCGAAGGCAAAGUUCACAAAGUUGCCAAGGAGAAACCUGGCUAUUGCAACAGUCCCCAUCUGCCUCCCUGUGCCGGAGAUGGAUCACAUGUCAAAAGUCAUAUCUUCGUGCAAAACAAUGUUCAUUUGGCUUCUGAAUUCAACAUAAGGCUUCCAUGUGAUUGUGUAGGUUUAUAGAGAUCAUGGCUCCAGUAUUUUCAAGAUGAGCAUGGCUGUCUGUGGUAUAUGAUUCAGAAUGGCUUGAUACACUGUUGGGGUCUGGAUUUUGCUCUUAGAAAAUGUGUUGAAACAUGCAUUUUUCUUGGAUACCUGCGAGUACCCGAACGUCUUGUCGAAUACUCAUAGCACGGCCACCCGAGGCCCUCGGAUACGCAUACGGGUAUCAAAAUUCGAUUCCUGAGUACUUCGGGAAGCUUGUGGUGCUACAUAGGUGUCGUGCUGAUUUAGGAGCAGAGAUGCUAGCUCAAAACCUUUGACCUUGGGACCUAAGGCCUCUGGUUCCUUUGCGGAUACUUGUGGAGAUGUUUAAAAGGAUGAAGAUUAAAAACGAGUUGAAUGAACCCUUCACAGGUGGAAAGAGUCGCUGCGUUUUGUCAUUCUGGCUUUUGGAGGGAUAAUAAGAUGAGCCAUUUUAUUAGAAACCAGGUCAGCGUAUGUAUGUAAAAUCGUUAUGUUUUGACAGUUGUCCCAGUUAUUAAAAAAGUAAGUUGUGGAAAACGUAGGGGUAAUAAUUGCUUGUGCGAACGCUGGUUAUGAUAUUGUCUGCUGCUGGGAAGUAUUACGGUUGGAAGGUAUAUGUAUUUUAACCUCUGCUGUGCUGUUGUUACAUUACAUUUUCGUGAUAGAUAUAUCAAUAUGGUGGCGAUUUGCGUUUUGGUUAGUCAUCUGACGUUUUCAUGAGCAGAAAGGAUUAUAGAGCAGAUAGCAUCGCCUGCUAAUGUCGACGACGACGGAGAGAGAAAGAUCCUAUCGCUCGCCAUCUAUAUUCUUGGGUGUCACAUGUGUUGUUUUAUUUUGUAAAUGGCCUCGCGCUUUGCUCUGGGUUUAAUUUGGCUGCACGAUCACCGCGGCCGUUCAGCCUCACUUGCGGCUGUGUAUCCCCGCUAUACCCCAAGUCUUUCAACCCAACACGGCCUCUUAAAACUCUGAUCACUGCCCUAUAUGGCAACCUACGGUGUACGAUGAGAUCCCUACCUGCCCGCCGAUCUCAGUGUAGGCCAAUAUUCCUGUGCAAUGUUGCUCAUAUUGUCGCCCAUUGAGUUCCUACAGGGCUUUUCCUUGAGAAAUGACAGCCCAGUCAAGGCCCAAACUGUCUGUACUAAAUCCCAGUUUACAAAAUGCCGCCAUGUUGCCGGUAUCGUGCUGCCCCAAUUGUGGGCUUAAGACCACGAGGUGUUAGGCGGCCCCAUUCAGUUCCAACAUUAUACCGAAUGGCCAUAUUGGCCCAAGUACGAUCCAGUAACAAUGUAAAUUGUAGCCCGCGUGUCAUGGCGGCCCAAUUUAGGCUCUGCUUAUUUA